GUUGGGGAAGGUUUUUCUGCAAAGUCAUGUGACUUCAAGGAAUCAUCACACCCUGCUCAUAAAUAGCCAGCUUGGUACUUUCGAUUUGCAGAACUGACUGCAAACCCAGAGGCUUCAGUACUCAGAGGGGAUCAGUGCUGGUGUGAAGGUGAUCCUGCACAAGGACAUGUCUUUGUAACUGUAAGUGACGAGUCAAUUUAAUCCUUCACAUGGUAUUCAUAAGGUGCCAUAAGUUUCUGCUUCUCUAAGGGUCGUGCUGAAGUUUGAACAAAAUGGUUUGACUUAAUAUCCGCAGCAGUAGUGCACAAGUCAUUUCUUCCUCAUUUUUUAUUAACUUUAUUGUAUGCC
ensembl:lncRNA